rnacentral:tRNA from 1 species
GCGGUUGUGGCGAAGUGGUUAACGCACCGGAUUGUGGCUCCGGCACUCGUGGGUUCAAUUCCCAUCAAUCGCCCCA